AAUGCAGGGGAAAAGGGAAAAAAUGAGGAAAAAAUGGGGGAUAAUGGGAAAAAAAGGAGGAAAAUUGAGAGUGAGGAGGAGGAAGAUAAGGGGGAGGAAGAGGAAGAGCAAGAACAAAAAAAUAGGGAAAAAAUGGGGAAAAUCGGAGAAAAAAGUCAAAAAAUGACCAAAAAAUUGGCCAAAACAUGGAAAUUUGAGAGUGAGGAAGAGGAGGAGGAGGAUGAAGAUGAGGAGGAAGAUCCAGGCGGGAAAAACAGGAAAAAAACCGGAAAAAUUGAGGAAAAAAGUCAAAAAAUGAACAAAAAUGAGGCCAAAAAAUCAAAAUUUGAGAGCGAGGAAGAGGAGGAUGAAGAUGAGGAAGAGGAGGAGGAAGAUGAAGAUCCACGCAGCAAAAAUAGGAAAAAAACGGGGAAGAUUGAGGAAAAAAAUCAAAAAAUUAUGAAAAAAGGGGCCAGAAAAUGGAAAUUUGAGAGUGAGGAAGAGGAGGAUGAAGAGGAGGAGGAUGAUGAAGACGAGGAGGAAGAUGAAGAGGAGGAAGAUGAAGAUGCCAGAGGGAAAACCAGGAAAAAAUCGGGAAAAAUUGAGGAAAAAAGACCAAAAUUGACCAAAAAAUUGGACAAAAAAUCGAAAUUUGACAGCGAGGAAGAGGAGGAUGAAGAGGAGGAGGAAGAAGAGGAAGAAGAGGAAGAUCCAAGAGGGAAAACCAGGAAAAAAUUGGGAAAAAUUGAGGAAAAAAGGCCAAAAUUGACCAAAAAAUUGGACAAAAAAUCGAAAUUUGACAGCGAGGAAGAGGAGGAUGAAGAUGAGGAUGAUGAUGAAGAUGAGGAGGAAGAAGACGAAGAUCCAGGCAGGAAAACCAGGGAAAAAUCAGGAAAAAUUGAGGAAAAAAGGCCAAAAAUGGACAAAAAAUUGGCCAAAAAGUCGAAAUUCGACAGCGAGGAAGAGGAGGAUGAAGAGGAGGAUGAAGAU
rnacentral:lncRNA from 1 species